rnacentral:rRNA from 1 species
UACGUAGGGUGCAAGCGUUGUCCGGAAUUAUUGGGCGUAAAGAGCUCGUAGGCGGUCUGUCGCGUCGGCUGUGAAAUCCCGAGGCUCAACCUCGGGUCUGCAGUCGAUACGGGCAAACUGGAGUUCGGCAGGGGAGACUGGAAUUCCUGGUGUAGCGGUGAAAUGCGCAGAUAUCAGGAGGAACACCGGUGGCGAAGGCGGGUCUCUGGGCCGAUACUGACGCUGAGGAGCGAAAGCGUGGGGAGCGAACAGG